rnacentral:lncRNA from 1 species
GCUAAACGCAGGGGUCGAACGUUCUUGGUGGGGCCAGCCAAGACGUCAGUGAUCCCUUUCCUCGCCGUCCGAGGAGGGAUCUGUGGCGGAACCGCCCAACUUAAGCUGGCUUAAGUGCGCCUAAUCGCUGUCGGAACAGCAAUUAUCCGAAACGCACCUAAAACAGCAUAAGUCCGGUAGUCCGUCGAGUGUCCCGAGGACUCCUCGAAGGAUCCACGAUGUGUUUCAUAGCCAUACAUCAGGGUAAUAUCCGCGAUGGGAUAACAUCAACAAAUAUUACAUUUUUAAAGACAUAACAAAGGUACGCUAUAUUACAACCAUAGUUUGAAACAAACUUAAUAGUGCAGGUUAGCGUGGUUCUAAGAAUUUUUAAACAUGAACCAGUCCGGAAGAAAAAGAUAAACUUCUAAGUUUUAUUCUAGAGUAUCAUGAGACUCAUAAGAUACUCUAGAUCUUCAGAGCUUCCUCUUCGGUGAGUCCCUGCUGGGUUUCUGAAAACAACAACAAGGGAUCCCCUGAGUACGAAGUACUCAGCAAGUCUUACCCGACUAACCAAUAUAAUAGCUUUCUUUGGAAGGGUAUGCUUAGCUUUUUGGUGUACUUGGCUAAUGCAAUUUUUGCCGAAAAAGCUUACUACAAGUGAUACCUUAGUUUUAUCUUUUAUUUGGGUUAAGUUGUUACCUAACCAUUCUAAAUGAUAGCAGAAGUAAAAACAACCACAGCUGUUAAGUCAUACAUUACUUGACAACAGGAGAUUUUUAUAUUGCAUGAAUUGAUACUACGAUGCUCAACAGUGAUCAAGUGCAUUCAUAACCGAGAAUUGCGGCGAUCCGGAUCUAAUUACAUCCUGCAGGAGAGUACCCUGAUCACCAGCAUUAUACGACUGUUCCGGUCGUAUCUCACAACCUCUCGAUUAGCAAAGUCAAUGAUUAGGAAUACAACUACCCGGACCCAGGGAUGCACCCCCACAUGGGACCCCACGUCUAGCCUGAUCUCCAUGUGAGUUUCAGGCUACACCCCUGCCAAUCUCCAGCACGUCAAAUGCGGGUACGAAGCAUUCCUGAUCAUAGAAUUUACUAACCUACUGGGCUUUACUGGUCCCAUACCCAGUAAGUGAUCAGAUGUUAUCACUUGAUCAGCAGUUAAGGCAUGAAUCGGGCCUUAACCAAAUUAAUCUAGCAGACAGAACUACAUCUCUAGCUUCUGUCCGUAUUCAUAUCCCAAACUAUCCUUCAUAAGCAACAUGUAUGACUUAAGAGUUUUCCUUAAGGUUGGUAAACCAAUCAUGUAAGCAAGUAAGCAAUUCUAGACUUGGGUAGUUUCUAGGAUUUGAACAAGUGGCAAAGAUGUCCUUAAAUCAAGGCAUGAUCAUACACAAGAAUAGGUUUCAUCCAACUCCUAGACUUAGUGCAUGCAAUAAACAAAUAACCUAUAACUAGUCACAUGAAAUAACGACUCUAAAAUAGAUAGGUAUAAAUGCACCGGGGCUUGCCUGGGAUCAACAAAGGUUAGUUCUUCGGAAAACUUCUUUAUUAAAAGAGGCACUCCACAUUUCGCGAAUGCUGUCCAUCUCCAGCUGAAUUCCAUGAAUUCCCACUUCAGGAGUUGUGUCGUCUACGAUUCAGUAUAUGCAAGAGUUACAGAUGCAAACUUUUGAAUACAAGACUAUACAAUCUUCCUUCAUGAUAAAGUUGCAAGCCAACAAGGACUAUACAAUUUAUCAUGAUAAAGUUGCAAGCCAACACACAAAAAAAAACCCUAAAGAUUAGCCCACCAUUUUUAUUUCCUUUACUAAACCUACCUUAGACUUCUUCUUUUAUUUUUAAAAGCAUUAUAAUAAUUUUCUAAUCUCAAAAACCUAAUUCCUAUGAAUUAAUAAUAAUUUGUGGAUAAUAAAGCAUUUUUCAAGUUUUAUACAUUUAAUAAAGUUUAAGCAUUUAUUUAAAUACCUUACAUAAAAAGGCAUUAAAUAAAUACCUAAAUUUUUAUUAUUUUUCCUAGGGUUUAAGAAUUUUAAUGCAUAAAGGAAAAUAAAACAAUCCUAAUAAAAUUGGUUUCACUAAUUUUGGGCACUUCUAAAAUUUCCUGGAAUUUAAAUGGUGAAAACCCUAUUUAAUCUAUUUAUCUAAUAAAAGAAAACCUAAAGUUUAAAUAAAACCCCCGGCCCAAACUUUUCUCACCCGACUUGCUUCUACCCACUAUCACUUCCACCUAGGGCCCAUCCGUUCUCUUAUUCUCCUCCCUUUCUUCUUUACUGACAAGUGGGGCCCACGGCCGAAAUCUUCCCUUGGGCCGAAAAGUGGCCCGUCAACUUUAACCUUCCACGUGUGGCCUUUUUGCGGCAGCCUUCUCUUUGGGCCGGCUUCUCCUCCUCUCCUUUUUCUCAAUCUUCGGCCGGCCCACAUUCUCCUUUUUUUUUUUCCACUCGACCGGCCUGCGGAUCCGGCCCAUGGCUGUUCUUUUACUCACCGGCCCCCUUUUCCUUUUCUACUCCACCCGGGCCGCACAGCUCACUUUCCUUUUAAACCAACAGUCGGCCCACUAGCUCUCCCUUCUUCUUUUAGGCCGCGCGGGCUAACUGGGUUGUCGCCUCCUCUUGGCCCAAGACGGCGCUGGCCCUCUUUUCUUUUUCUUCUACUCCCACCUGAGCCUCAUGGCCCAUUUCCUUUCCAAACCAGCAAACGGCCCACCGGCCUUUCCCUUUUCUUCUUUUACUUGCGCAGGUCAGCUGGGCCGUCGUCUCUCUCUCGGCCCAAAACGGCGGCUGGCCUGCUCCUCUUUCUCUUAAAACACCGCGCGGGCCAGCUGGGCCGCGCCUUUCCCUGGCCCAAAAACGGUGGCCGGCUCUUAUUCUUCUCUUCCCCUUCCUCCUGUGCGCAUGGCGUCUCCCUCCCUGCGCCUAAACAGGGGCGCGCGGGACCGACGGGGGCUCGCCGGCUGGCGGCUUGACACACCCGUGGGCGGCGGCGGCGCUCCGGGAGGUGGCCGGAGGUGGCCCCUCCACGGCGGCGGCGGCUUGACCGGCUGCCGGCCAUGGCGACGCACGAAGGCGGCGCAAGCAGCUCUCUAGACUCCCCCAACAGCUCCCACACCUUCGCAGGACGCCCCUAAGCCCGUUGAUUGAAAAGAAACAGUCGAUUUAGAAGCUCACCUUGUGGAUUGGGUGACGGCGGCCGGCGGACAGUAACGGCGGCGAUUCGAAGCUUGCCGGCAGGGAGACGAGCAACGGUUAGGCUUGGGCGUCGUGGUGGGGCGAGUGGAGCUACUUGCUGGCGGUGACGCGAAGGGCAACGGCGGCAUGGGUGUUGGCCGGUGCUGGCGCUAGCUCGCUCGAGCUUUGUUCGUCACGGUGAAAUCCAACGGGAUAAACGGAUAGGCACAGAAGCUUGAUUUAUCCAAAUUGGU